CCUACGGGAGGCAGCAGUGGGGAAUAUUGGACAAUGGGGGCAACCCUUAUCCAGCCAUGCCGCGUGUGUGAAGAAGGCCCUCGGGUUGUAAAGCACUUUCAGUGAGGAAGAACGCCUGGUGGUUAAUACCCAUCAGGAAAGACAUCACUCACAGAAGAAGCACCGGCUAACUCCGUGCCAGCAGCCGCGGUAAU
rnacentral:rRNA from 1 species